CCGCAAGGGGGAAGCGGCGAACGGGGUAGGAUAACACAGGUAACGUACCCUUCGAUCGGGGAUAGCUGCGGGAAACUGCAGGUAAUACCCGAUGAUCCCCGGAAGCUGGAAUGCUUCCGGUGCAAAGGUGAGAUUCCGUCGGAGGAGCGGCCUGUGCGACAUCAGGUAGUUGGUGAGGUAACGGCUCACCAAGCCUAAGACGUCUAGGGGGUGUGAGAGCAUGGCCCCCACCACUGGGACUGAGAUACUGCCCAGACACCUACGGGUGGCUGCAGUCGAGAAUCUUCGGCAAUGCGCGCAAGCGUGACCGAGCGACGCCGCGUGCGGGAUGAAGGCCUUCGGGUUGUAAACCGCUGUCGGGGGGGAUGAAAUGCACGGGGGCAAUCCCCUGUGUUUGACAGAGCCCCGGAGGAAGCGCGGGCUAAGUUCGUGCCAGCAGCAGCGGUAAUACGAACUGCGCGAACGUUAUUCGGAUUCACUGGGCUUAAAGGGUGCGUAGGCGGUCUGUUAAGCGGGGUGUGAAAUUCUUCGGCUCAACCGGAAAAGUGCAUUCUGUACUGGCAGACUGGAGUCGGUCAGGGGUGUGUGGAACUGCCAGUGGAGCGGUGAAAUGUGUUGAUAUUGGCAGGAACGCCGGUGGCGAAAGCGACACACUGGGUCCGUACUGACGCUGAGGCACGAAAGCCAGGGGAGCAACGGGAUUAGAUACCCCGGUAGUCCUGGCCCGUAAACCGAUGAGUACUGGAUCGCGGGGACUUGUUUCCUCGCGGUCGUAAGCGAAG
rnacentral:rRNA from 1 species